UCUGGCUCAGAUUGAACGCUGGCGGCAGGCCUAACACAUGCAAGUCGAGCGGUAGCACAGAAGAGCUUGCUCUUUGGGUGACGAGCGGCGGACGGGUGAGUAAUGUCUGGGAAACUGCCUGAUGGAGGGGGAUAACUACUGGAAACGGUAGCUAAUACCGCAUAACCUCGCAAGAGCAAAGAGGGGGACCUUCGGGCCUCUCGCCAUCAGAUGUGCCCAGAUGGGAUUAGCUAGUAGGUGAGGUAAUGGCUCACCUAGGCGACGAUCCCUAGCUGGUCUGAGAGGAUGACCAGCCACACUGGAACUGAGACACGGUCCAGACUCCUACGGGAGGCAGCAGUGGGGAAUAUUGCACAAUGGGCGCAAGCCUGAUGCAGCCAUGCCGCGUGUGUGAAGAAGGCCUUCGGGUUGUAAAGCACUUUCAGCGGGGAGGAAGGCGGUAAGGUUAAUAACCUUAUCGAUUGACGUUACCCGCAGAAGAAGCACCGGCUAACUCCGUGCCAGCAGCCGCGGUAAUACGGAGGGUGCAAGCGUUAAUCGGAAUGACUGGGCGUAAAGCGCACGCAGGCGGUCUGUUAAGUUGGAUGUGAAAUCCCCGGGCUUAACCUGGGAACUGCAUUCAAAACUGACAGGCUAGAGUCUUGUAGAGGGGGGUAGAAUUCCAGGUGUAGCGGUGAAAUGCGUAGAGAUCUGGAGGAAUACCGGUGGCGAAGGCGGCCCCCUGGACAAAGACUGACGCUCAGGUGCGAAAGCGUGGGGAGCAAACAGGAUUAGAUACCCUGGUAGUCCACGCUGUAAACGAUGUCGAUUUGGAGGUUGUGCCCUUGAGGCGUGGCUUCCGGAGCUAACGCGUUAAAUCGACCGCCUGGGGAGUACGGCCGCAAGGUUAAAACUCAAAUGAAUUGACGGGGGCCCGCACAAGCGGUGGAGCAUGUGGUUUAAUUCGAUGCAACGCGAAGAACCUUACCUACUCUUGACAUCCAGAGAACUUAGCAGAGAUGCUUUGGUGCCUUCGGGAACUCUGAGACAGGUGCUGCAUGGCUGUCGUCAGCUCGUGUUGUGAAAUGUUGGGUUAAGUCCCGCAACGAGCGCAACCCUUAUCCUUUGUUGCCAGCGAUUCGGUCGGGAACUCAAAGGAGACUGCCGGUGAUAAACCGGAGGAAGGUGGGGAUGACGUCAAGUCAUCAUGGCCCUUACGAGUAGGGCUACACACGUGCUACAAUGGCGUAUACAAAGAGAAGCGACCUCGCGAGAGCAAGCGGACCUCAUAAAGUACGUCGUAGUCCGGAUUGGAGUCUGCAACUCGACUCCAUGAAGUCGGAAUCGCUAGUAAUCGUAGAUCAGAAUGCUACGGUGAAUACGUUCCCGGGCCUUGUACACACCGCCCGUCACACCAUGGGAGUGGGUUGCAAAAGAAGUAGGUAGCUUAACCUUCGGGAGGGCGCUUACCACUUUGUGAUUCAUGACUGGGGUGAAGUCGUAACAAGGUAACCGUAGGGGAACCUGCGGCUGGACCC
rnacentral:rRNA from 1 species